AGUGAACGCUGGCGGUAGGCCUAACACAUGCAAGUCGAACGGCAGCACAGUAAGAGCUUGCUCUUACGGGUGGCGAGUGGCGGACGGGUGAGGAAUACAUCGGAAUCUACUUUUUCGUGGGGGAUAACGUAGGGAAACUUACGCUAAUACCGCAUACGAUCUACGGGUGAAAGCAGGGGAUCUUCGGACCUUGCGCGAUUGAAUGAGCCGAUGUCGGAUUAGUUAGUUGGCGGGGUAAAGGCCCACGAAGGCGACGAUCCGUAGCUGGUGUGAGAGGAUGGUCAGCCACAUUGGAGCUGAGACACGGUCCAGACUCCUACGGGAGGCAGCAGUGGGGAAUAUUGGACAAUGGGCGCAAGCCUGAUCCAGCCGUACCGCGUGGGUGAAGAAGGCCUUCGGGUUGUAAAGCCCUUUUGUUGGGAAAGAAAAGCAGCAGGUUAAUACCCCGCUGUUCUGACGGUACCCAAAGAAUAAGCACCGGCUAACUUCGUG
rnacentral:rRNA from 1 species